AUAAUUACUUAUAUACUCUUUUUGUUUUAAAACAAUUGCGUAAUCUCAAUAAUCCAUACUUUCCCAUUGUUCUGAAAAAACAAUGCUGAUAUUCCAAAAAAGACAUUGAAACUUAUAAUCGGGAAUCGAACUAAAAACACUUUUCCGCGCGUACAAAUACACCGAAAAUUUGUAUCUGUUAUGUAUCCUCGAGUACAAACAAAAUAUUUUAACUUCAUUUUUAUUUGUAAAUAUAAUAUUUUUUCCUAUAAUCAUCUAACCUAAUUAAUCUAUGGGUGUUUUUCAAAACCAACCCACAAUUUCUAGUCAAACCCAA
rnacentral:lncRNA from 1 species